rnacentral:rRNA from 1 species
UACGGAGGGUGCGAGUGUUAUUCGGAAUCACUGGGCGUAAAGAGCACGUAGGCGGAUAGGUAAGUCAGAUGUGAAAUCCCGGAGCUCAACUCCGGAACUGCAUUUGAUACUGCCUGUCUUGAGUGUGGUAGAGGGGGGUGGAAUUCCCGGUGUAGAGGUGAAAUUCGUAGAUAUCGGGAGGAACACCAGAGGCGAAGGCGACCCCCUGGGCCACUACUGACGCUGAGGUGCGAAAGCGUGGGGAG